UACGGGGGGGGCAAGCGUUGUUCGGAAUUACUGGGCGUAAAGGGCUCGUAGGCGGCCAACUAAGUCAGACGUGAAAUCCCUCGGCUUAACCGGGGAACUGCGUCUGAUACUGGAUGGCUUGAGUUUGGGAGAGGGAUGCGGAAUUCCAGGUGUAGCGGUGAAAUGCGUAGAUAUCUGGAGGAACACCGGUGGCGAAGGCGGCGGCCUGGGUAGAUACUGACGCUGAGGUGCGAAAGCGUGGGGAGCAAACAGG
rnacentral:rRNA from 1 species